CCAGUAACUGUGGAGGACAACAUGGACAGAUUUCAAGAAAGUAGUGUGGAUUCUCUCUGCCAGAGGCACAGACAUACCACAUUUCAUGUUCCAUCUCCAGGACUUCACAGACCUGAAGUCCAUCCUUCGUGGCCCAGGGAAAGAAGAAAGCCCAAGAUGAGACCCUGGAGAGCCUAUUUUUGGUGACGAGGUUGAAAUGGUUUAGUUGGAAGUUUGGGCAGUUGACUCCAUUGUAAUUAACCCCACCAAGCCACUCAGCAUGAACUGCAAUGAGUCAGUUUGCUAAGAACAGAAUUCUGAUUUUUACACGGAGACCAGGAACACGGUGAGUUCUCAAUGACUACACGUUGGAUUUCUCAAAUGGCCCUGAUUUUCGGGAUCAUGGGUUUAGAGUACUUCUGUUCACAUUUUCUUCAAGAAAUUAUAGUGAUCAUUGUUAAGGUUUUAUAAAUAAGCGUUUUCGGAAAUCUGUAAGUGGAUAUUCUCAAAUGCUGAAGGCAUAUCCAGCAUUUUACUAGCCUGCCAUUCA